AGUGAACGCUGGCGGUAGGCCUAACACAUGCAAGUCGAACGGCAGCACAGAGGAGCUUGCUCCUUGGGUGGCGAGUGGCGGACGGGUGAGGAAUACAUCGGAAUCUACUCUGUCGUGGGGGAUAACGUAGGGAAACUUGCGCUAAUACCGCAUACGACCUACGGGUGAAAGCAGGGGACCUUCGGGCCUUGCGCGAUUGAAUGAGCCGAUGUCGGAUUAGCUAGUCGGCGGGGUAAAGGCCCACCAAGGCGACGAUCCGUAGCUGGUCUGAGAGGAUGAUCAGCCACACUGGAAAUGAGACACGGUCCAGACUCCUACGGGAGGCAGCAGUGGGGAAUAUUGGACAAUGGGCGCAAGCCUGAUCCAGCCAUACCGCGUGGGUGAAGAAGGCCUUCGGGUUGUAAAGCCCUUUUGUUGGGAAAGAAAUCCAGCUGGCUAAUACCCGGUUGGGAUGACGGUACCCAAAGAAUAAGCACCGGCUAACUUCGUGCCAGCCGCCGCAGUAA
rnacentral:rRNA from 1 species